rnacentral:tRNA from 1 species
GGUUCUAUAGUAAAAUUUAUAACGUUAGAUUGCAAAUCUGAAGAUGUGUUGGAAGAGUAACACUAGAACUU